GAUGAACGCUGGCGGCGUGCCUAAUACAUGCAAGUCGAGCGAACGGACCAGAAGCUUGCUUCUCUGAUGUUAGCGGCGGACGGGUGAGUAACACGUGGAUAACCUACCUAUAAGACUGGGAUAACUUCGGGAAACCGGAGCUAAUACCGGAUAAUAUUUUGAACCGCAUGGUUCAAAAGUUAAAGACGGUCUUGCUGUCACUUAUAGAUGGAUCCGCGCUGCAUUAGCUAGUUGGUAAGGUAACGGCUUACCAAGGCAACGAUGCAUAGCCGACCUGAGAGGGUGAUCGGCCACACUGGAACUGAGACACGGUCCAGACUCCUACGGGAGGCAGCAGUAGGGAAUCUUCCGCAAUGGGCGAAAGCCUGACGGAGCAACGCCGCGUGAGUGAUGAAGGUCUUCGGAUCGUAAAACUCUGUUAUUAGGGAAGAACAUAUGUGUAAGUAACUGUGCACAUCUUGACGGUACCUAAUCAGAAAGCCACGGCUAACUACGUG
rnacentral:rRNA from 1 species